UCGCGGGUGACUGCGAAUCCGAAGGAAGCCCGAGGCAAAAUGCUGGCCUGACGAACAGGAAGCGGAUAGAGGCGGCGCAGCGGGGUUAGACGGCCCAAAUCAUCAAAGCCCAAUACUUACACAGAAUACUGUGACGUAAAUCCGACAGGCAUAAGCAGAAAGGUCGCGCGA
rnacentral:ncRNA from 1 species